rnacentral:rRNA from 1 species
GAAUUCCGUGAAUCAUCGAAUCUUUGAACGCACAUUGCCGGUCGAGUCUUCGGAUGAGACCACAUCUGCCUCAGCGUCGGGAUA